rnacentral:rRNA from 1 species
AAACCAGCACCUCAAGUGGUCAGGAUGAUUAUUGGGCCUAAAGCAUCCGUAGCCUGCUCUGUAAGUUUUCGGUUAAAUCUGUACGCUUAACGUACAGGCUGCCGGGAAUACUGCAGAGCUAGGGAGUGGGAGAGGUAGACGGUACUCGGGAGGAAGUGGUAAAAUGCUUUGAUCUCUCGAUGACCACCUGUGGCGAAGGCGGUCUACCAGAACACGUCCGACGGUGAGGGAUGAAAGCUGGGGGAGCAAACCGGAUUAGAAACCCGAGUAGUCC